AUUGAACGCUGGCGGCAUGCUUUACACAUGCAAGUCGAACGGCAGCGCGGGCUUCGGCCUGGCGGCGAGUGGCGAACGGGUGAGUAAUGCAUCUGAACGGGCCCAGUAGUGGGGGAUAGCCCGGCGAAAGCCGGAUUAAUACCGCAUACGACCUGAGGGUGAAAGCGGGGGACCGAAAGGCCUCGCGCUAUUGGAGCGGCCGAUGUCGGAUUAGCUAGUUGGUGGGGUAAAGGCUUACCAAGGCGACGAUCCGUAGCUGGUCUGAGAGGGCGACCAGCCACACUGGGAGUGAGCCACGGCCCAGACUCCUACGGGAGGCAGCAGUGGGGAAUUUUGGACAAUGGGGGCAACCCUGAUCCAGCCAUGCAGCGUGCGGGAAGAAGGCCUUCGGGUUGUAAACCGCUUUUGUUCGGGAAGAAAUCCUCUGGGCUAAUACCCCGGGGGGAUGACGGUACCGGAAGAAUAAGCACCGGCUAACUACGUG
rnacentral:rRNA from 1 species